rnacentral:lncRNA from 1 species
AGUGUGCUCCUCUGGAAGCCCUCUGACUACCAGCCGCUUGUCUCUUCUUCUGCAGUUGAGAAAUAGACGGUCCACAGCAGACAACUUAGAAUGGAAUAAGGGAGAUGUGUUUGAGGCACUACCAUUGGAAGAUGUGCUGGGGAGAAGCCCAGCCCAGCAACAUGCGGCAGGACCACAUCUCGGCAGAGCUGCCACAAGCAGAGUGAAUGCAGAGCCAUCAAGAGCCAAGUUCUACAAGAGAUAAAUCAGCUGAGACUACCACUAGACAUCUGCAAGCAGAAGAUUAGGAGAGUAAAUUGGCUGAGACGCAUAUGCAUAUGACCCAGAAACCAAGUUGCGUGAAACUAUCAUGGUUUGUGCCUCGAUAGGUUCAACAAGGACAUGGUGAGAAGAUAGCCAUUUGCAAGCCAGAAAGAGCCGUCACCAGAACGCAACCAUGUAGAUACCCCGAUUUCAUAGUCCCAGCCUCCAAAACUAUACGUGCAGCAGUGCUUCAGGCAUUGUGGCCAAAUGAUGAUAUGAAUGAGACUGGAUUCUCCAGUAGGAAAUGGACUUGGCCUCAAGGUGAGAGCCAGAAGUUGAAGUGGACACAGUGCUAAAAAGGGGUAAUGCUCAGCUGGAUGGAGGUGGGCCUCUCCCAGAUGGCAACUUGUUUAUCAAAGCAUGAAAACCAAGAAGGUGAUAAAGAAAGUCUGCUAGCAAGACAUAAGUCACAAUCUUUUGUAAUCUAUUUAUGAAAGUGACAUACCAUCAUCUUGACCACAAUCUAUUGAUUAGAAACAAGUACAGCUCACCCUCAACAAGAGGAGAUAAUAUCCAGGUGUGAAUUGCACAAGACUAAUCCAGUGGAAAAACUAUAUUCGACCCAAGGAUCUGUAUCCACACAGUUUGACAAUAAUUUACUUCUUUCUGGAAGCGAUGAGCACAGUGUAAUUCCUGAGAAAUUUUAAUAAUGAUAUUUUAAUUAUAAUUAAGUGAAACCUAGCAAAGUUGGCUGUAUCUGGAGGAACUCCACUGUGGGAAACAGAUUCUUAAGAUGGCUGAAGAUGGCUGUUUCGCUGUAUCAAUGUGUGACUUUCAAUAGAUGAUCGAAGAUGGCUGUUUGGCACUGUGUCUGAAUUAAGCCAGAAGGAAGGAGGAAGAAGAUGAAGAAAAGGCAUGCUUCUACCCCUUAGGACCACGUCUCUGAAGCUGUAUACAACAUUUCUGCUCUCAUAUAAUUGGGCAGAACUUAGUCAUAGAGCUACAUGUAGUUGCAAGGGAAGCUAUAUGCACUAAUGUGCUUAGUUAAACAUUGGGAUUCUCUUACUAAGGUACAUAAGGAGAACAUAUAUUUGGAGAGGCAACUAUCCAUCUCUGCCACAAGAUCUGAAACAAUUAUUGUGAGACUAUAAACAUAGUAAAAAGCUCCAGGGAUCAGGGGGAAGUCAGAAAUUAUUUGGGAUUCCAGUGAAUGGAAUGUUGACCAUAAAUGAGAAAUGAUGCUUGGGAUAAUUCCUAGUGAGCAUUGGCUUUUAGAGUUGGGAUUGAAGUCAACCAGCUAUAAAGAGCAAGACUGGGUGGGAUACUUUGAAAUGUCAUAUCAUUGUGUAUGGCUUUUGUGGUAGUUACUGCUUCUUUUUAGAAUAAUUCUCAUAACUAGGUAGAAAGCUCACCUUUGAAACUUCUGCAUGCCUAAUAAAAUGCUUCACUCACACCCAGUUGUUUUACUCAAGCGAGUAGUUUUAUGGUAACUGCAUUUGGGGUAACAGUCUUACAGAAGAGUUAACACAAUGGGCAGAUUCCAGGUGUGCUGUCAUUUGGAGGAGGCAAAUCCAUACAGACAAGAAGUAGAUUAGUGGUUGCCUAGAGCUGGAGGAGGGUAAGGAUAAGGAAUGGAUUACUACUGGGACUGGGUUUCUUUUUGGGGUGAUGAAAAUUUUCUAAAAUUGAUUGUGGUGAUGGUUGCCUAACUCUGUGAAUAGCAAUGAAUUGUGCUAUUGUACACUUUAGGUAAAUGGUAUG